GGAGCAGAAAUGGGAUUCCUUUCAGAGUCAAGUAUCUGUGGAGAUCUGUUUUCCCUGCUCAGUUGUUCAGUGAACAAAAGUUUUUAAAAAAGCCCUCAGACAGCGAAGAGGAAGGAUGAAUACUAAGAAAGUAAAGGACCAAAGCCUCGGAAACGCAGCCAGGGACUUCGAUUGAGGGAACUGGUGUAUACAGAGAUUAAAUGACUUGCCCAAGAUCACCCAUUUACUAACUGGUGAAGCUCAAAGAUGAACAGUCUGAUACCAGAACCUGUGCUUGCAACCAGUAUACUUGUAUGGCUACCUCAGUAAUGGCAUGUUAUAAGCUCCUGAUAUGUACUAACUCAAUCAUCCAAGAACGCUUUGCUGUUUAAUCCUCACAACAACCCCAUCUUACGGAUGAGGGAAAUGAAGUAGAAGGAAGUGAAGUGUUUUGUGCAAGAUCACGCUGCUGGUAACAACCAACAAUAUAUUUUAAAAAAUCACAGAGUUGAUGGACCAACAGUUCCAAGAGUACAGAAUUGCUGUUCUUCAUCUCUUGAUUUCCUAGAGCAGCUCAGAUCUUCUCACUGAAAUACACCCAAGCAAGAGGAAAAUGAACAAGUCACACACAAGUUGGGAAGAGAAGGACGGCUGUCAAUUAGCCUACAUCCAAAUCUGGGCUGAGGAGGAACAAAGAGCUACCUGAAGAAAUGAGUAUCUGGAACGAACCACAGCGGUCAAGAUGGCCACUGGCCAAUGGAACCAGCUGCCUGGGUCCACAUUCACAAGCCCCCUUCAUGGGCACCACUGAGGUGCCGCAAGGACAGAAGAGCUGCUGGGCCCAGUCAUUACAACUUCAGGAAAGGAGAAGGAGCUCACUCUUCAGACAUGGUCUUCAUGCUUCUGUGCUCCUUCGUGGCCUUCUCCUAGUUCAUGUGGUUGAAUCCCUCAGUGACCACACUCCACACAGUGUCCUCCUCCAGGCGGUGUGGGGCGAUUCCAGAGCCUCCAGGGUGGGAGCAGGGCAUGUAAGAGCUUUGAAGGACACCAUUCUUAACAGAAGUGUGAUGAGAGAAAAACUCUCUGAAGACCUCAUACACAUGGGAAGCCAUUUUAUUUUUUUAUUUUAUUUUUUAAAAAGAUUUUAUUUACUUAUUUGACAGAGAGAGAGAGUUCACA